AUGCAGCAAGGCCACAUCAACCUAUCUCCGUCGCACAAAGAGGAGACCACCGCAUACGCCAUCCUCGUGCUAAGCGCCGCCGUGGAGUCCACGAGGACCACGUCGCACACGCUGACCUACCAGCUCCAGAAGAACGCGUCCAUCUCCGUCCAGGAAAGGGCGUUCUACGGGGCGUGCCUCACCGACUACGUCGCGGCGUUGAACUCCCUCUACCACACCCUCGUCGUGAUGCUGCCGAACUGCUUCUUUCAGGGGAUCAACGACGACUACCUGAGCGCGUUGGCCAGCGUGAAUAGUUGCAGGGAUCGGUUCAUAGGGCCGGCUAUGUACAUGUCGCCGGUGUACCCCUUGGUUUUGGCCGACCGAAACAAGGCCUUGCUGGCUUACUCGCUUGGCAAGUUGCUGUUAUGA
rnacentral:rRNA from 1 species